rnacentral:rRNA from 1 species
CAAGGUUUCCGUAGGGAACCUGCGGAAGGAUCAUUACUGAAAGACCCAGAGUCUUGAGACUACGUUCGCGUGUGCUCGACUCUUACUCUUUAUCCACACACACCUUUGUGCACCAUGGGAGACCGUAAGUGUCUCCCCUUUUUUAUACAUACACCAGUUAUAUGCAUGUUUUUAUAUAUACUCUACGGAGUUGAUAAAUGUAACAACUUUCAACAACGGAUCUCUUGGCUUUCGCAUCGAUGAAGAACGCAGCGAACGUGCGAAACGUAAUGUGAAUUGCAGAAUUCAGUGAAUCAUCGAAUCUUUGAACGCAUCUUGCGCUCCUUGGUAUUCCGAGGAGCAUGCCUGUUUGAGUGUCGUGAAUACUCUCAAUUUCAAUCUUUUUGUUUGAAAUUGGAUUUGGAUGUUGUCGUUGUCAUUCCAACGACUCGUCCUAAAUACAUUAGCGAUCUGGCUUGAUCACACACAAUGUGAUAAAUUAUCAAAGCAUUGUUAUAAUCAAGUCAAGACUGCUUCUAACGGUCUGUUUAAGACAACGCAUAUAUAUGCAUGUCAUUUGACCUCAAAUCCAGGUAGGACUACCCGCUGAACUUAAGCA